CACCCUCAGAGGCUAGGCCCGGGAAAGCGCCCCAAGUGAAUGAAAAGCCCUCACUUUAUCACUUUGUGUCUGGUGGUACUGUGUCCAGAAGAGGGAGCUAUUGAGCUUGGCCUGGACCAAGGAAAUUCCAGCGAGACAAACACUGGGAGGCAUUGAGAAACACUUGGAAAUGCAAAGACGCAGAAUAAAGAUGGAAACAACUCAGACUUCAAGAGACAGACAGAAGAGCUCUACUCUGUUCUUCCUCUGAACUUGUAGCCAAUCUACCCACCCUAGUCUCUCCCACCUCAAUUCUAGAAACUCCUGGAAGCUUCAUUCUGGAAUUUGUUGGUACAAAUGGGCUUGUUGUGGGACUUACCCAGGCUGGACCAGGAUUAUUCUGUUUUUCGGCAGACACAACAUCUUUGUUUGUAUGUGGUGCUGAGGAUCGAACCCGGGCCGCAUGCAUGCCAGGCGAGCGCGCUACCACUUGAGCCACAUCCCCAGCCCGAAAAACUGUUCUUGACAAGACCUUUUCUGCCCUCCUGAAAUUUAUUUAAAUCCCAUGCACCCCCACAACCUGACCCCCUUACACACAGCCAGUCCUCUCCUGCUUAGAUCUCUACCUAUGAUCAGACUCCUAUGCCUAGCUACCAUACAUGGCUAGAGGAUACCCAAGUUAUAGACCCCUCUUUUCAGACCCUCCCCAUGUUCUUUCCCCACACUCAGGCCUUAAAGCUGCCCCUACAAUCCCCCACAGCUGAGGCCCCUCCCAUGCCCAGCCCUGCCCCCAUCCCUUAGGCCCCCAAGGUAGUUUCCCAAUGUCCCAGUACCUCUGCAUUCCAGGCCUUCCACACCUGCAACCCAGUCCAUCCUCCCCGAUGUCCCAGCCCCCACCCCACAUCAGGCACUCCCAUAGUCUUGCUAUUCCCCAAGGAACAGGGCCUUCCCAACUGCUGUCCCUCUCUCUGCUCAGGUCCCCACCUCAUACCCAGACUGCCCCAAGCCCUCUUCAGGCUAGACCCACUUAGGGCCCCCUCCAAAAGCCUUUGGAGGUUUGGUGGCAGCAAUGUGGCUAAUGAACCUGUCAAUUCAAAGACCAGGCACUGCGCAGGAAGACUUCAAACACCCUGGAAUCUUGCUGCUCAUUAUUGAAAACACUUAAUAGAGAUUUUCCCAAAUUUGACAACAUCCAAAACUUUUGAGACAUUAACAAUAAUAAAUGGUGAGGCUGAAAGCAAA